GGAAGGGAAACGCUUCCGGUGGGGCGGCUGGACUUCAAAUCCAGUAAGGGCCGUUGGACGGUUCUUCGUGGGUUCGACUCCCACUCUCUUCCGCCA
rnacentral:tRNA from 1 species